AUAAGGAGAAGAAGAAAAAUAGAAGAACUGCUGUAACAGCUGAAAGGCUUCGUGCUUUAGUUUUAACAGUGGUGCUGGAAGUAAAGGAUUUAUCAUUUGCCAUCACAAGCAGACCCACUGAGGAGCUUCAGUCCGUCUCUCCUGGCUCAAUAAUCAGUGAUGACUCUCUUCUCUCCCAGUCCUUGAAAUCUGAAGCACAACUCACAACCUCCUUACAAGUACUAAGAUGGACAUUUAAUUUUAAAGAGCAAAAUGACCGUCACAGUCUUUUAGUGGAAACCGAUAAGGAAUGCUGGAAAAUCAUGGAAGAUUAAAUGCAACCAAUCAGUUUUCUUUUUCCUUGUAAAUUUGAUCUUUUAAAUCAUAAUUAAAUCAUUUUCUUUUCAAGCAACUUCCGCUUGGGGAUUGAUAAAGCGUAUUCUGAUUCCGAUUGGGUUGGCAGCACCUGAGACAGCCACUCUCAAAGGAUGACCAGCCUGUUCAGGCGGAGCAACAGCAACAAAGGCUCUGAAAGCAGUGGAGGCAGAGAUGGGGGCGGCACUACUAGCGGGCAGCUCAACAACAGCAGGCCGAACCGGCCAGUCAAGCACCUGGAGUUCAAUCAGGCCAUGGAAGACUUCAAGACCAUGUUUCCCUCCAUGGACUAUGAGGUGAUUGAGUGUGUUCUGCGUUCCAACAAAGGAGCUGUGGACGCCACUAUUGACCAGCUGCUUCAAAUGAGCAUUGAAGGACAACACUCAGAUGAUACCUCAGACUCAGAUGACAGCAUCCCAGCAGAGAUUCUGGAGCAGACCCAGGAACCCGACAGCUCAGAUGAAGAACCACCUCCAGUUUACUCUCCACCAAAAUCCAACAUCUACUCUGACUGGAAGCACCCAGAGACACACAAAGUGUCUCCUCCACAAUCAGAGACCCAUGUGGCAGCAGACGACCAGCAAGUUCGGAUCUACAGGAACUGGAACCCGCCGCUGCUCGGAAACCUUCCAGAGGACUUUUUGAGGAUUUGGCCUCGGCAAUCAAACAGUGUGAAGCAGUACUCACAAAGCAGUCCAUCUCAGCCCUCCUCAACCUCUUCGAUGUCUGUGUCCUCAACAAAUCAAAGGACAGCCCAGGCCGCUUCUGUGUUUGGAGCUACUUUGACUGCUGAGGGUCCUAAUAUGACAACGGGAUUACAAGAGAACACGUUGAUGCAGUAUUUGGAAGACGAGCGCAUAGCCCUGUUUCUGCAGAACGAGGAGUUUUUGAAAGAGCUGAAGCGUAACCAUGAGUUCCUCAUUGCCUUAGAGAGAGAUGGGUUGAAGUAUGGAAUAAAGUCCAGCCAUUUAUCAAGCCUGGACACUUCCACAGGGGAGAGAUACUCAGCAGAUUCGCAGGACCCUCCCUCAGAUGACGCACUAUUCAGAGACAAACUCAAGCACAUGGGUAAAUCAACAAGAAAGAAGCUCUUUGAAAUUGCCAGAACAUUUUCUGAAAGGACGAAAAGGAGAAAGUCUAAAAGAAAGACUCUAACACACUUAUAUCCUUCCUGUGACGUCACAUGGUCCUGAUAGAAAGUUGGUGGUUUUAUUCUGGGGUGGGAAUCUGAGAGAAAAUAGUCGACAUAGAUUUAUCAAAGUGUCACUGACAUGACAUGGGAGCGAUGCUUAAAUUGUUUGUUACAUCAGUCACUUAUAAUUAUUUUUUUAGAAAUAAAAUGCUGAUUGAAUGCAGGCCUGUUUUAAAAAUGUUUUUGAACUUAGCCCUGCGAUGAGCUAGCUGGAUGACUCCUUUACAGGAUGUGAUGUAAUGAGGGUAAUAUCCAGUGUGCCGCCAUGUUAGCAGGCUGUUUGUUUUUCUUAAUUAUUCCCGUGAACACAUAAGUUUGUUCUCCUUCCAAAAAGAUCUAAAUCUUCAAGAUCAAUGGAUGAACAGACGGCUCUGCCCUCUGUAGCGAUCAUUUCACUUCACACAAGAGUUUCAAACCUGUUAAAGAUAUAUAUAAAUAUUUAAAAAAUGAUCAUAAUACUGACAAUACUGAGGCAGUACUUGUUCGUAAACGCAGCGCCAACUUAUUAUCAUUGAAUAGUAAAAAUACGUUAUGCUACCACAUUGUCAUUAGUGAAAGGGAAACUUCAUAACGACCCAAAAGCGUUGCAUGCAGGCGAAAGGAUAAAUGAGGAGGAAACAACUCAGCAUGAGGCAGAGCAAGACGAACAGACACUGUAGGGAAAAUAAAACCGACGUCUGCAACAGAUACCAGGCGAAGACAGGCUGCGAGUUUUCAGUCAUUUUAUUGGCCUAAUUGCAAAUAGUUUCAGUUAAAUGUUAGUUUUGUUUCCUUGUUUUUUUUGUGUUUGUGUGUUUUUUUUUAACUAAACUUGUGUUCAGAUUGGGCACAGCCGACUCCACAGCAAAUCUCCUGGAAGAUAUCGAGGCAAACCCUAGCGAGGAAGAUGGUAAGCCAAGAAGAGGUAUCGUUCAGGA